AUUGAACGCUGGCGGCAUGCCUUACACAUGCAAGUCGAACGGCAACGCGGGGCAACCUGGCGACGAGUGGCGAACGGGUGAGUAAUGCAUCGGAACGUGCCCGGUAGUGGGGGAUAACUGCUCGAAAGAGCAGCUAAUACCGCAUACGACCUGAGGGUGAAAGGGGGGGAUCGCAAGACCUCUCGCUAUCGGAGCGGCCGAUGCCGGAUUAGCUAGUUGGUGGGGUAAAGGCCUACCAAGGCGACGAUCCGUAGCUGGUCUGAGAGGAUGAUCCGCCAAACUGGGACUGGGACACGGCCCAGACUCCUACGGGAGGCAGCAGUGGGGAAUAUUGGACAAUGGGCGGAAGCCUGAUCCAGCCAUGCCGCGUGUGUGAAGAAGGCCUUUUGGUUGUAAAGCACUUUAAGCGAGGAGGAGGCUCUUAAGGUUAAUACCCUUGAUGAGUGGACGUUACUCGCAGAAUAAGCACCGGCUAACUCUGUGCCAGCCGCCGCCGUAACAC
rnacentral:rRNA from 1 species